rnacentral:snRNA from 1 species
AUAGUUACCUGGCAGGGGAGACACCAUGAUCACGAAGGUGUCCAGGGUGAGGCUCAUCCAUUGCAUUCCGGGAGUGCUGACCCCUGCGAUUUCCCCAAAUGCGGGAAACUCGACUGCAUAAUUUGUGGUAGUUAAGAAGAUAC